UGUAUAUUGAAAAAAAAAAUCCCAGAAAAUAAAUACAAUUACUAGAUCGUGAGAACUGAGAAGUACGAGUAAAGCCAAGGGGAUCUGAAAUGUCACGAAUGGAAUGGGAGGUUGAAUUGUCUGUAAAUUUCAGAACCCAUUUGCAGCUUGGUCUUGAGAAAUACCGGUGAAGACAGAUAGGGUUUGACAUUGCUUGGACGUGUUUUGCAAAUUACAAUUGAUUUGUGAAAUAUUACAAACAAUACAAACCCAGGUAGUGGAUUGGGUCUAAUUUUAAAAAAGUGGCCCAAAAGAAAAGCCCACAAUUUAAAAAAAGAAAAAGAAACAAAAAAAAAAACUGUUCCGUCUUCCUUCCACUCCAUUCUCCGGUGCCUGUGUCCGUGUGAAUUUGCCGUUCAAGCUU
rnacentral:lncRNA from 1 species